rnacentral:lncRNA from 1 species
AGUAUAAUAUUGUGUGUGUGUUUGUGUGUUGUGUGUGUCUCUGUUAUUCUGUAGGUGGUUAUCGCCAGCCCUUAUAAGCUGUACAGUGCGUUUCAGGCAGUGAUUGAGAGCAGAACUAAGGCUACACAUUGCACUGUCACUCUGAUGUUGCCCACCACACUGUAAGACCUGUACUGUGUGUCAAUGAGUGAAAGAAAGAAAGAAAGAAAGAAAGAAAGAUUAUGCAUCAAACUGAUUGUGUGUGUGUGUGGAUUUGCCCGUGUCUUCCUCAGGUGUGUGAAGGGGGAACGGGAGGCAGGGCAUUGCACCGUCAGAAAGGUUGGUAAUGUGAUGCCACACACUGAGCUCACUCUCCAGUAUGGACCAGGAGACCAGAGGGAACACAGCCAGGGUCUCUUGUCUACAGGUAGUGUAUGUAUACAGCUCCAGGUGCACUAUAGGAGGAGGGACGGACUGAGCAUGCUCAGAGUCAUCACCGUGAACAAAGAGGUCACCAGCAACAGGUGGGAACAAUGACCACAGAGUCCAUACUAGACUGUUGAU